GGAGGGGUGGGCGAGUGGACGAAACCACCGGUCUUGAAAACCGGAGAGCCUUUUCGGGCUCCGUGGGUUCGAAUCCCACCCCCUCCGCCA
rnacentral:tRNA from 1 species